rnacentral:rRNA from 1 species
GACGAGCCACACAAACGUUAUUCGGAAUUACUGGGCUUAAAGGGUGCGUAGGCGGCGCGGAAAGUUGGGUGUGAAAGCCCUCGGCUCAACCGAGGAAUGGCGCCCAAAACUACCGUGCUCGAGGAAGACAGAGGUGAGCGGAACUCAGGGUGGAGCGGUGAAAUGCGUUGAUAUCCUGAGGAACACCGGUGGCGAAAGCGGCUCACUGGGUCUUCUCUGACGCUGCGGCACGAAAGCUAGGGUAGCGAACGGG